rnacentral:rRNA from 1 species
UGAUUAUAUUUUAUUUAUUAAAAAUUUUUUUUUAUAUCAUAAGUUAUUAAAAAUAAUUAUUAAAAGGUUUGUUUGAGUAUUUUAUAAAGAAAAAAUAAUUUUAAUUAUAGUUAAAUAGUAUUGUGAAAGAAAAUUGAAAUAAUUUGAAAAAUUAAUAUUUUAAAAGAAAAUUUAAUUUAUUGUACCUUGUGUAUCAGGGUUUAUUAAAUAAAAAUUAUUUAGUAUAAUUUUCUCGAUUUUAAAAGAGUUAAUAUAUUAUAAAAGUUAAUGUGAUAAAAUUAUUUUAUAUAAUAUAUUAGAAAUGAAAUGUUAUUCGUUUUUAAAGGUAUCUAGUUCUUUAAGAAAUAAAUUUAAUUUAGAAAUUUUAUAUUAUUUAAUUAAAUAUAUUAAUUAAAUAAUUAUUUAAUUUUAAUAUUUUAUGGGAUAAGCUAUAAAAUAAAUUAUUAAAAAUUGUUAAAUAAUUUAAUAAAUAUAAGCUUAGAAAUAGCUAUUAUUAAUGAAAUUGUUAUAAUUUAUUUUAUUACAAUAAUUAUUUAUUUAAUUUUAAUUAUGUAUUAAAGUAUUUAUUUUAAUUAUAAAAAUAAAAAAAUAAUGAUAAAAUUAGUAUAUUAUAUUGUAUAAAUAUAAUUAAUUGAUAAGUUUUUAUAAAGAACUCGGCAAAAAUAAUGUUCGCCUGUUUAACAAAAACAUGUCUUUUUGAAUUUUUUUUAAAGUCUAGCCUGCCCACUGAAUAAUUUAAAUGGCCGCAGUAUACUAACUGUGCAAAGGUAGCAUAAUCAUUAGUCUUUUAAUUGAAGGCUGGUAUGAAUGGUUGGACGAGAUAUUAACUGUUUCAUAAAAAUUUAUAAUAGAAUUUUAUUUUUUAGUCAAAAAGCUAAAAUAAAAUUAAAAGACGAGAAGACCCUAUAAAUCUUUAUAUAUAGAUUAUUAGAAUUUUGUAGAUUUUUUUUAUUAUAAUAGUUGAUUUUAUUUUAUUGGGGUGAUAUUAAAAUUUAAUUAACUUUUAAUUUUUAAAGUCAUUAAUUUAUGAAUAAUUGAUCCGUUAAUAACGAUUAAAAAAAUAAGUUACUUUAGGGAUAACAGCGUAAUUUUUUUGGAGAGUUCAUAUCGAUAAAAAAGAUUGCGACCUCGAUGUUGGAUUAAGAUAUAAUUUUAGGUGUAGCCGCUUAAAUUUUAAGUCUGUUCGACUUUUAAAUUCUUACAUGAUCUGAGUUCAAACCGGCGUAAGCCAGGUUGGUUUCUAUCUUUAAAAAAUAAAAAUAUUUCAGUACGAAAGGACCUAAUAUUUAAUAAAUAAUUAUUUUAAUAUUGAAUAUAAUUAAUUUA